rnacentral:rRNA from 1 species
GGACGGAAGUGGACCGAGCAACGCCGCGUGAGUGAAGAAGGUGUUCGGAGCGUAAAGCUCUGUUGUAAGAGAAGAACGAGUGUGAGAGUGGAAAGUUCACACUGUGACGGUAUCUUACCAGAAAGGGACGGCUAACUACGUGCCAGCAGCCGCGGUAAUACGUAGGUCCCGAGCGUUGUCCGGAUUUAUUGGGCGUAAAGCGAGCGCAGGCGGUUAGAUAAGUCUGAAGUUAAAGGCUGUGGCUUAACCAUAGUACGCUUUGGAAACUGUUUAACUUGAGUGCAAGAGGGGAGAGUGGAAUUCCAUGUGUAGCGGUGAAAUGCGUAGAUAUAUGGAGGAACACCGGUGGCGAAAGCGGCUCUCUGGCUUGUAACUGACGCUGAGGCUCGAAAGCGUGGGGAGCAAACAGGAUUAGAUACCCUGGGUAGUACACGCCGUAAACGAUGAGUGCUAGGUGUUAGACCCUUCCCCGGGUUUAGUGCCGCAGCUACGCAUUAAGCACUCGCCUGGGAGUACGACGCAGGUGAACUCAAGGAUGACGGGGCC